GGCGAAGAUGAAUAGUGCCUUUUUAUAAUUUAUGACACCUGUUGUAUGAGAAAAGCUUUUUUAAAGCUUUCCUUUGAGCAGAAAUAACAACAUUCUGAGUC